UACGUAGGGGGCAAGCGUUGUCCGGAUUUAUUGGGCGUAAAGAGCGUGUAGGCGGCUAGAUAGGUCCGUUGUGAAAACUGGAGGCUCAACCUCCAGCUGUCGAUGGAAACCAUCUAGCUAGAGUCCGGAAGAGGAGAGUGGAAUUCCUGGUGUAGCGGUGAAAUGCGCAGAUAUCAGGAAGAACACCCGUGGCGAAAGCGGCUCUCUGGAACGGUACUGACGCUGAGACGCGAAAGCGUGGGGAGCGAACAGG
rnacentral:rRNA from 1 species